AGUCAAGCAUGUCAUUCAGUUUGGAUCAAUUCCCAGUGCAUCAUUGCAUUUUUGAGGUAAUUGUAGUAGAGUCAACCAUUCUCAAAAUACCAUCGGUGAGCAGAUAAACAACUUUUUUGUUGCUAAUCAGUCAAAGUCAUUUGCUUUAACAUUAUUCCCUUCAACAAAGGGCAUUCUGAAGAAUAUAUUGUACGUAACGCAGAACACCAGAAAUUAAUACCAAUCUUGUUCAGUAAGCAAGAUCUCAGAAGUACAGUUAAUGUAUCAAAGUUAUGAUAAUAAAUUGCAUUUUCUAACAAAAUAUAAGUAAUGAAUAGGAAAACUAACUGGAGUUAUUUUCUAGUGAUAGACGUAUAGAUUGUAGCAAAAAUGCUAAUCUUUUCCCUCAAUUUCACGUUGGAGAUGAAUUUAAAAAACGAACAGAAAAAAAUGAACAAAGACCAGGAGGGGAAAAGCUACGAGGAAAAUGGCACGAUUUCUUCAUAUUUUAAAAUGCACAAGAGUAAGAAUUUUGAAGAAACCUGCAUAUCACUGGAGGCAGAGCCACAUUGUGAAGCACGGGGAAAUCCAUGAUACCCUUGACUUUCACCUCUCUCGGAGCCAUCUUAACAUGUCCAAUGAUAUGUCCUAGCAAAGGAAACAAAAUGGCCAUUGAAAAGCAAGUUUAAGGAAUCCAUUGAGCAAUUUUUGCUGCAGUCAUGCCAGUCAAUAAAUCCAAGUACCCAGCAAGAAACCACAUGCUUUAAAACAACAAAGUGGGCUAGAAACCCCAAACAGCAUCCACAACUGGAAUUGUGAUUAAAGAUAUCAUAAAGAUCAGUACGGGACGCACAAGGAGACAGACAACUACACCAGAGACAGAAACUGGGUCAGUCAUGAUCUCACUGAAUGGCGGAAUCGGCUCGAGGAGUGAAGAAGCCUACUUCUAUUCUUAAGCUGAAUGAAGACGGUUAAGAGUGAUUAAAUUAAGCACAACUGGAAAGGAGUUGAGGAAAAGAGAUGGGCAGAAUCAGGUUACAAAAUAACCUCAGUAACCACAGGAUAUGCAAGAGAGGAAAAUACACACAUCAAAAGCCAAGACCACUGUUCUUAUUAACCGUGCAGCUACUCCAGCUGGAGGCUCUCAUCAGUCAGGUUUGACUGCAACGGGUCUCAGAUGAAUAAUUAUUGUCCAGUUCACACAUGAAGAAUAGCCAGCUGUGGAACAGCUGCAGAAUGUGGGCCAUACCCCAAAGCUGUCAUCUGCAGAAAAGGAAGAUAUCUCCUGCAGCGCAGAGUUAAGUGAGAGAAUGAGGAAAACUGGCAUCGAGAGUUCCAUGGAUGGCUUAUUGGGACUCACAGCUCUAUAUACAGUAGUAAACUGCAGCUCACGGAGGAUUCUGUUGAAAAAAUGUUAAACUCUGAUUCUAGCUCAUCCAGCAAUGCAUCCUGAGAAGAUUCGUGCUCCAUCCUGGACAUCAGGUCCUUGGUUAUUUUUGUAUCAAAAGGACUUGCGGAACCAAAUUUGUUAGAGGGGUAAGAUAUGCAUUUGGUCCAAUCUGUAGGCUCUGCCUGCUUUGAUGUCUCUGAUGAAGGACAAUACGUUUGAUUGACAGUUCGAGUAAGCUCUAUACAUUCACUAGCCUCUGGCUUACUUUCUGACACUUCUCCUGUAUCACUUUUGAAUGCUAUCUGAGCACACGGCUCUCCACUUCCACCAUGGUCUGCCAAGUUAAUUGUACUCUGUUCAACUUUUUGUGUUUUCAAUUGUGCCUCAACAGUUCCACAUUCAAAUCCUGCAUUUUUAUCCACUUCCAGUGCUUUGGUUUUUGAAUCCAUCUCUGACUCAAGACAUGCGUCAUUUAAUGCACCAGUUUCUGCUGCAGUGCCAUCAUUAAUAACUUCUUCACUUGUGGCAUCAUCAAUCACCAACAAAUGUACUUCAUUAUCACUGCUCGACAGCUGUUCAUUGACCUGCAGAGCAACCUGCUCAUUUGGACGUUGUUCCAUUCUCAGUCAUUCAAAUAUUUAUCCUGCAACAAUAAAAACAAGAUGGAUAUGUUGAAAAGACAAGAUCACACUAGUGUGCACUAAAUAAUGUAUUGAAAAUGAAAGGUCAUUUGCCCGCACAGGUGCUUUCCUCUAAGACGGGGUGCAUUCCAGAAAUAUAAAUAGAUCUCAAAAUAAAUAGCUCCACAAUAUGACGUGUUUUAAGUACAAUAACUGCAAUAUCUGUAACAUAUACAAUAAAAGUCAUUCUUUAGAUGA